rnacentral:lncRNA from 1 species
UGGAAGUCCUGAAUAAGCUAGUUAUUUGUGGUAAUAACAGUGGCAAUAAAGAUAAUAAGAAGCCACAAACAGCGCCCCACCUCUCCUCCACGCGAAAUUGUUAUAAUAGGGCGUACCCUUGACGGGUAGAACCAGAUCCGGUUGUGUGGCCACGGGAUCCUGCUCACGCCUAGGCCACAUUUUGCAAGUGGAGACCAAAGACCCACUGACGCCACAGCCUCCGCCCACUGAAGAAACACGUGGUUGUCAGGCGAGAGGGCGAUGUUGCUCCCAGAUCUCGAUCUCUCUCUUUCUGUUGUCUGUACCUUAAAACAGCUGGAGCCGGAAGCUUCUAACCCAGGCUAGCUUUGCCGAGGGUGUCCAUGGGAAAUGAAAGCAACAUUCUGUUGUAAGAUGAAACGCAUUUCUGCCCGGCCCACCCUUACAACAGAGCAUACAGCAUCAGAUGUAAUAUGCACGGAGAAGAAUGUUAUUUCCCCAACCCCAGCUUUAGGCAGCGUAGAUAGAAGAUCUUUUGUAAAGCCAAUGCGCCUUUGUCUUCUGUGCUGGAUUUAACUGUUAAGCUUGCUUCCCAAGUCAGUGUUGGCUGAGCCUGCGGACAUUAGCUUGUACACGUUGCCUUCAGAGCAAGGUUUGGGAAUCUGGGGCCCUGCAGAUGUUGCUGGAGUAGAAGUCACAUAACCCAUGGCCACUGGCAAUGCUGGCUGGGGCAGAUGGUGGAGUGCAACAAUACCACAGGGGUCCCUGCAGACCUUGCCUUAGAACAAGAGGUGAAGGAGGAGGAGGAGGAGUUUGGAUUUGAUAUCCCGCUUUAUCACUACCCUAAAGGUAAAGGGACCCCUGAGCAUUAGGUCCAGUCACGAAUGACUCUGGGGUUGCGGCACUCAUCUCGCUUUAUUGGCCGAGGGAGCCGGCGUACAGCUUCCGGGUCAUGUGGCCAGCAUGACUAAGCCGCUUCUGGUGAACCAGAGCAGCGCAGGGAAACGCCGUUUACCUUCCCGCCAGAUUACGUAUUUAUCUACUUGCACUUCAUGCUUUUAAACUGCUAGGUUGGCAGGAGCAGGGACCGAGCAAUGGGAGCUCACCCCAUCACGGGGAUUCGAACUGCCAACCUUCUGAUCGGCAAGCCCUAGGCUCUGUGUUAUCAAAGCUGCUAACAAUCUCCUUCCCUUCCUCCCCCACAACAAACACUCUGGAAGGUGACUGAGGUUGAGAGACUUCAGAGAAGUGUGACUGGCCCAAGAUCACCCAGCAGCUGCAUGUGGAGGAGCGGGGGAUGUGAACCCAUUUCACCAGAUUACGAGUCCACUGCUCUUAACCACUACACCACGCUGGCUCUCCCUUCUCAUGUCUAUAAAGGGCCUUUGACCCAAGGUUGGUGGAGCAUUCACCGUCCAUCUUAUGGACAUGGUGCAACCUACCAUGAACACAACUGAAGACCAGGACCUUAAUUUCAAUGCCUUGCAGACAGAUCCCACCAUAGGAGCCAACUCCUAGGGGCUGAUAAAUAAAAUAUUUGAGGGGGCCAACCAUCCCAAAGUUGAUGGGCAUACUGAUGCCAGAUUUACGUAUAAGCUAAACAAGCUAUAGCUUAGGGCUACACUCUCUUGGGCCCCCCCCAAAAAUUUAAAGGGGAAAAAACUGGAUGUGCAUUUCCAAAAUAUAAGCUAAAAAACACAUAAAAUAAAACCUAUAUACAGCAACAGUGUUUUGUCUUGUGUAGGCUCCUGUGAUGUAAGUAAUGGGCCCCGCCUGCUAGUCUGCUCCCUAAAAUAUCACUAGUUUGCUCAUUUCUAUAUAUAGGGUGCCUACAUUUUGCCAGGACUAGUUGCAUGGCAACAUGUGCAAAUGGCUUUAGAUACCUAUUAAGUCCAUAAAUUACCAUAUAGCAUAUAUUCAACACAAAAAACAGCGACAAUUUGUUGUUGACAAAGGACAGCUGGACAUAUAAAGGGCCCCAAUACCUUCAGUACCUUAGGGCCUCCUCAAACCUAAAUCCGGCCCGGGGCUGCAUGCAUGGGGUGCAUGCAUGAAUCAUGUAAUUGAUUAUGUGAGGCAGGGGUUACCUGUCCCCCCCUCCAAUAUUUUAUUCAAGUUGGCACCCCUGGAUCUCACUGACUUUCACUUUGAAGUAAAACUUUUCCCAUUCAAAAGCUCUUAUAUCGUGGGCUUCUAAAUAUACAUGGAUGGGAUUACGCUGUUGACUGGCUGAAGAAAAAAUGAGAUGGGUGGGGCAGCGCCCUAAUGGAUCGACCUCCACUGACCGUUGGGCUGCAAUCCUGCAAGUACUGUACUUUCCUGGGGGUAGGCUUACUUCUGAGUUGCUCUGUUAAGAGUUGGAAGAGCGGGGUCGAGGACAACUUCCCAGAUCGCGCAUGCGCAGAAAGGCCUUUCCCUUCCUCCCCGCCGGCGCUUAUAGGAUUUCCAGGUCCGACGGAGCGGGUUGCCAGGCAGCUCUUCUCUUCAAGCUGAACCAGCGGCUUCUGCCGGGAGCCAGGCGAGUGGCCUGGCUGGAAGAACUCCCCUCUCCGGAGCCAGCCACCACGUCUGGUUUUCAUAGAGCCGCGGCAGCAAUUACCUCAAAGCCGUAACUGUCUCCGAAAUUAUUCAUUAAAGUCAUUCCGAGGAGCCCCAGCAAAGCCCCGCUUGAAGUUUAUGGCCUUUGGUGGCCUUGAAACAUGACAUUGCCCUUCAACAGCUAGCGUCGGAGGGCUCUCUGCCGCCCUCUCUUCUUAAUCUUCCCCCCGCAAAAAAAAGUCAUAGAUCGCCCCCUCCCACACACAGCCCCUUCCCCUCUUUUGAAGGUGGCGGUGCUGCUGCUCGCCUGACUGACCAACUUGCCUCCGUGUGUGCGCGC